CCUUCGCCAAAAAAAUGUGAGACACAUCCCGCAACUAGGGUUCCGACCACCGCCGUCGUCUCCUCACCCUCGCUUCUUUGAGGAACCUUCGCCAUGACCGUCUCCCUCGCCACUUUCUCCAUGCGUUGGAACGGCAUCGCCGCCCAUCCUCCUCGCCUUGGGGAAGGCAUCGCCGCGGCCGUUCCUCCGCUCGAUCGGAGAUGCAGAUGGCGCUGUUGUUCCUACGCACGCAAGUACGACGCACCCGUCCUCCUCAACUACAUCCAUUCAGAAGGUCCUAUUCUGUCUUCCGUGUAUCUGCAAUUUGGUAUUUGUAUCAGUAGUAAAAGGUAAUAUUCCCCCCGACCCUGCACAUCCUUGUUUUUCCAUUGCCGGCGGUGCCUUUGAAGCUACAACACCGAUGGAUCACAUCCUCAUUGAGACAUGUCCCUGCCCACGCAGUAGCACAUGCUGACUUCAAACCUACAAAGAUUUUCUAUUUAGUCGCAUAACUGAAGGGAACCAUUUAACAGGUACUUAAGUUUCUUAGUGAAAUAAAUGCAGGAUUCUUCUGCUCAAACAUUGAACAAAUAGAAAAGAUGGUUUCUACAGAGAUGACAAGUUGAUGAACAUGUAAGGAACAUCACUGAAUUGAUAAAUAUAAAUAAGCAUUCAGGUUUUUCUCAGGAAGUGACAAUAAUUUCGUUGUGGUCAACCAAAAGGGAAUUGAUCCUCGACCCCUCAGUCUCCUAGCUAGAUCAGGGUAACCAAUUCUGACUUAUUACUACCUGAUGGUUCUGCACUUACAUUCACCCCUAAUCUGUUUGGGGUUCCAUUUUCGUUAAGAACGUGUGUCAUGAUGUCCCUAGCUGAACUUAGAAUAUGAAAGUUGUUUGACAUUAUGCUAAUAAUGGUACUCUUUUUUUGCGAGGGCUAAUAAUAAUGGUACUCUAUAGGCCACGAAACCACCAGUUAUGUUUAAGACAAAACCAUUGUAGAAAUAAAAGUUCAGCAACCUUUUUUUGGCGGGCUUUAACUUGGAAGGGCUAAUGCCUGUACAUAAGGUAUGUAACUAUACUAAAACCUAAGCAUGAAGAUUGAUGUUCCAAGUGAUGCAUGUACAUAUCUCUAUGGCCCCGCAACAUUUUCUUAUGUCCGGAACAUGCAAGUAACAUAUAUGUUUUGCUCCCAACAAAUAGAGUUACUAAUGUCGGUAAUAGUUAGUGGCUGGGCACAUAUGAAUUCAUUUAAAAAUAGUCAUAUUCCAACGCUGACCAAGCUUCUUCCUUGCUAUUAGUAGAUAUAUAGAUUUAACAAAAAAGCAUGUACUACACCCUAUGCUCCUAUCCAAACUCCAAAGUAUUGAUUAUUUCAGCAAAAAACUCUAGUUCAGUUCAGACCAACAACAAAAAAUAGUCGUAUUCUACAACCAGUGCAGCUAAGUACUAUAAAAAUAAUCAUAAUCAAUCCUUCAUCACAAGUACUAAAAUAGGAAUGAUGUUUAUUUUUCAUGAUUGGUUGAGACCAGUCCGGCCACACAAGUUUAAACAAGACUUAGUGCCCAAGUAUAAUCAUGUGCGCCUAGUAGCAGGCUAGCUUCUAAAGUAAGUCUGUCCACACAAGUUCAAACAGGACUUGGUGCUCAAGUCUAAUCUCAUGCGCCUAGUAUCCUAUUUAAUUCUGAUCUGUUUUUUAGUACAAGCUAAGCUCCUCCUGUAGAGGCUGAUCCAAAUCAUAAUACAGAGCACCUGAAUAACCGAAUACGGUUGGAACAAGGAAGAACUCUGGGUGUUACAUUACGGACUAAAACGGAUGGGUGGAGGGAUUUUUUUCUGCCAUUGCAAUGUACAGGGCAUAUUUGCUAUUAUGUAAAAGAAGGAAAAACACUUUUUUCUAUAAGCCAUCUCUCUCUAUCAUUUUGCUGCAAUUCUUCCAGAAAUACAGCAUAAUCUCAAUCUAGUUAAUUCCGAAACAAUGUUUGCAUCCCCAGGAAGAAUGUUUUAUUCAUCACUUGUCUGUAUGUGUUAAGUCAGGAAGAAUGUUGUGUCCCUUGUUCUCAAUACUUAUUUCUUGUUAGGCAUUAGGUUUUAAUUUUCUUGCUGCCAUGUUUGUGGAUCUAACCGAUUUCCACUGGAUCUCUGCUUGUGGUCCGAGUCCUGAUCUCUGCUUGGCGUGGAGCUGCAAGAUCAGAUGGAAACCAGACUUCCUAUGGUAGGCUCAGUCUGAUCAUGCAUUCCUUCAAGGUCGAGUCAGGGUCAAAGGGUUCUGAGAAUUUUUUACAUGGAUCGGGAUAUUAAAAUGUGUGCCUUUGUAGUUCUUAGGGCAAGUGGGAAAAAAAGAAUAUCCAAUUUACAAAGUAACAGUGAAGACUCGAAGUCUGUGUUUGUACUUCAUAACAUGAUCAAAGAUAAAUUAAUGAUUCAUGGCUCAGAUGGUGAUUGCAAGGUUAAGAAUGGAGCUUCUACCAGAUAAUUAGAAUGUUAUUCUUAGGAUCAAUGUUUCAAACAUUAUAGUUGAUUGCAAGGUCAAGAAAUGGGCUACUACUAGAUAGUUUCACCUCUUGUAAUCUUUGGACCAUGUUAUUUGUAAUGAAAAAUGCUUGAUUUAAUA